GAUGAACGCUGGCGGCGUGCCUAAUACAUGCAAGUCGAGCGAACAGACGAGGAGCUUGCUCCUCUGACGUUAGCGGCGGAUGGGUGAGUAACACGUGGAUAACCUACCUAUAAGACUGGGAUAACUUCGGGAAACCGGAGCUAAUACCGGAUAAUAUAUUGAACCGCAUGGUUCAAUAGUGAAAGACGGUUUUGCUGUCACUUAUAGAUGGAUCCGCGCCGCAUUAGCUAGUUGGUAAGGUAACGGCUUACCAAGGCAACGAUGCGUAGCCGACCUGAGAGGGUGAUCGGCCACACUGGAACUGAGACACGGUCCAGACUCCUACGGGAGGCAGCAGUAGGGAAUCUUCCGCGAUGGGCGAAAGCCUGACGGAGCAACGCCGCGUGAGUGAUGAAGGUCUUCGGAUCGUAAAACUCUGUUAUUAGGGAAGAACAAAUGUGUAAGUAACUAUGCACGUCUUGACGGUACCUAAUCAGAAAGCCACGGCUAACUACGUG
rnacentral:rRNA from 1 species